GACGAACGCUGGCGGCGUGCUUAACACAUGCAAGUCGAACGGAAAGGCCCCGUUUGGGGUACUCGAGUGGGGAACGGGGGAGUAACACGCCAGUAACCCGCCCUGGACUUCGGGGUAAAUGCAGGAAACUGGGGGUAAUACCGGCUAGGAAUCCUUGCUGCAUGGUGGGGGUUGGAAAGCUUGAACGGUUUUGGAUGGACUCGCGGCGUAUCAGCUUGUUGGUGGGGUAGUGGCUUACCAAGGCGUUGACGGGUAGCUGGCCUGAGAGGGCGACCGGCCACCCUGGGACUGAGGGGCGGCCCCGGCUCCUACGGGAGGAAGAAGGGGGGAAGAUUGCACCAGGGGCGGAAGCCGGAUGCAGCAACGCCGCGGGCGGGAAGACGGCCUUCGGGUUGUAAAACGCCUUCAGCAGGGGCGAAGCUUGUGGUGACGGUACCUGCAGAAGAAGCACCGGCUAACUACGUG
rnacentral:rRNA from 1 species